rnacentral:lncRNA from 1 species
CCACCGGGGAGGUAUGGGGUUGCUUAUAUCAUGUAAUUGCCCCCUCUACCUCUUGAUGUGGCCUCCUCUUUGUCUUCUGGAGUAGGAUAUCUUUUUGAAAGUUUCCAGUCCAUUUGGUUGAAGGUUGUUCAGCAUUUGGUUGUAAUUUUGUUGUUUUUAUGAGAGAAGUUGAGCUCUAGUCCUUCUAUUCUGCCAUCUUAAUCCUAUCUCCUAGUUUUGAAUACUUUAAAUAAAAUAAAUAUUAAAAAACCUCAGUCCUACUCUUCUCUUCCCUCUUUGGGUCCCUGGCUUGUCUAAGAACUAAAUUGAUAUAAGACAGACCAAUAAGAGAAAAGCAUACAAAUUGUGUUGAGUUUUUACAUAUCCAUGGCAGGUUUCACGAGAGGAUGAAUACCAAAAAUGACCAAAACCAGAAGCUUUUAUACCUUUUAGUCAACUUUGUGUAUAUCCACUUGUUUACUCUUGCAUUUCUGCCAUUGCAAGGAGCAGAGGAUGCCCAUGCUAGUCUUUUGGUUCCUCCUAGGCAGGGCAGAUUACCCCAGGUAAAUGCAGCCUAGAUCCAAAGCUCCUCAGCUAACUUUCAGAAGAAUGUGAAAACUAAGGUGAGGUCAGCAGAAGUGUCCAGCCUUGAGCCUCUGAACUCUGAGAUCCAUAAGAAAUAAAUGUGCAUUGUGUAUGCUGCUGAGUUUCUGGGUCGUUUGUUAUGCAGUGAAAGCUAAAGUGUAUAAACACAUUUUAAUAAGAAAAGUAUCCGUAUAUUCAAGCAAAAUGAAACAUGUUUUGGGGACACAAUGCAAAUAAUUAACUGUGGUUGUUUGAGCUUUAUGGGUAUGGACAACUUUAAUUUUUUCUUUAUAAUUAUGUUUAAAAAUUUAUGCAAUAAGCAUGUUUUAUUUGUCACAAAUGGAAUUUUAAAUAAAAUGAUAAUAUUUAUCUUCUAUUUUAGAGAAUAAAUUGCUUUUGAAACUUUAUUAUUAAUCCAAAAAAAAUUUUUCCCUUAGAAAAUAAGAACUACUUUCUGAAAAGUGAUAAGAAUAAAGGUAUAUUAAUCAGCUAUUAUUAUAUUCUCUGGAUUCUCUGGAUAAAUCCUUACUGAUAAGAAUUGAGGAAUAUAAUAAUCUUGAGGUAAUGUACAUGUAAUUUAAAAAUAGACUUUAGUUUGCUCUUUGUUUCCCAGCCAAAAGGUGAGUAGUGAGUUUUUUGCCAUUAAAAACUUUAUUCAACUUUUUAUGGCUAAAAGAUAAUUUUCCCAGGGAUAUUCUCUUAGAAAAUAUUAAAAUAAUGUUUUAACUGCUUCUACACUACUUGGCUGAAUGAUAUUUGAGACAAAGGCAGAAAUUCUUUGCUUUUGAUCUAAAACUGGCAAGAUUAAUUCAUCUACAUCUUUAAAAUUUACCAUGGGAGACUUUUAAGUUUUAUGGUAUUAAGUUAUUUUCACAAAUGAUUGUUUCAAGGUCAGAGAAAAUUUGAACAUUAUGUUUCAUAUUUCUCUUUUCCUCAGUCCUCACAUCCAAUCAAGCAACAAGUCCUAACUACUUUUUUAAAACCUCCACUUUUAUAAUUAUACUGUCAAAAGUAUAAUUUUUAAAGUUAGAACAUGACUUUUUUAUAAAUAUCAAGUGAACACAUGGCAAAUAUCUAUUUAAAUCCUUAAUGAGGGAGUCAGCAGGAAGGUAAAGCUAGCUCAAGGAGCAUUUGAAGAACAGAGAUGGAUAAAGUCUGUUUUAAAAAAAAAAAAAAAAGACAUACUGAAAUAAAUUUGCAAAGUUAAGAACAAAACUUUUUAAUAUCCUAAAGGGUAAUAAAAUAGAAACCUUUGGGAGUGCCUUUGUUCUGAGUAGAAACUAUGUACAUUUCCAGUGGAAAAAGCUACAAUUGAACACGUAACUUUACUGAUUUUUAGCCUAAUAAAUACCAAAGCAAACAGGUACAUAUUCUAGGGAAUUAAAUUAUUCUUGGGUGAUCCUUUUAAUAUCCCAGUAUAAUACUGAAAUUACGUGUAGAUAUUCUACUGAUUUAAUAGCCAUUUUGGAACAUUUUUCUUAACAGUCUCCUUUGUGAUCAUAAAUAAUCUCUAAAGAAUGUUCUUGGUCAUGAAAAAAAUUUAGCCUUUUUGUGUUUUGGCCUAAUUAAUUUACAUGGGUUAGUAGACAGCAUUAAUUAAACAUAUAAAUUUCUUUAUAGGAUAGUCAGAAAGUCUAGAACCACUCAAUUAUUAUUAUUAUCAGAGAAUUAACUUAUUUCUAGAGAUUGCAUAAGGAAAACAUUAAAGAAACAUAUCAAAAUAGUGGUGGAUAAAACCUGACCACAAAUUCGUUUCUGCUUUUUUAGCAAGACUGUCUCCCAUUUUUAAUCUGGGGUUGACUUUCCUUAACCAAUAAAAUUUAGCAGAAAUGGGUUGUUGGAUGUCUCUUCACUGGUAUAUCAUUAUUACAUCAGAAUCACAUAUAACACGUCUAUCUCAGUAUUUGCUGCAUAAAUUAAUGAAACUUGAAGAAAUUGUCUUGACUCUAUUUGUGCAGUUGACAAAUGGAUUAUCAAGACAUCAUUUUUUUAGAAAGUAGACUCUUAAGUUUUACCUUUAUACUCACUCAGUAAACUUAUGUAGUGAGCAAUUUGUCCUUAUUCUUCUGUCUUUCUGAGGCAUGCUCUCUCCCAGCUCGGAAUUUCUGUGCUGGCUGUUCUUGCCUCAUAGCAGCAGCUCAUCUUGAGUUCUUUACUGGUGAUGUCCUAUUAUCUUUUAAAUACCUUCCUUAUUUUUAUUCAGACCUCUUGAAGUCUUCUGCCAAGACAUGAUGGAUAAUAAGAUAAUCAGAUAAAUCAAUCUCUGCCUUGGUAUUAGCUAUGUAAGAGGAAGCACUGAAUAUAGAUCAGGAGGGUUGGAGUCAAACUCAGACUCUGUUAUGAGCCAUGACACUACCCUUCAACUAAUCGUGUGAAUUUAAACCAGUUAUUUUAUUUCUCAGGUCUCCAUUUUCCAAUAUGUAAGUUGGGAAACAAAACCGCUUAGGGUGAGGAUUAAAUAGAGCUGUGUAUACUUUGUUCGAAUUAGGUAGUAAAGGCUUAUAUAGUUGUGGCUAUUUUAAGGAGUCAUUUUCCCCCCCAAAUAUUAUAUCGUCUUUCAGUAGACAUCCCCAAAUGAAGUUGAGGAUUUUAUUGUUGAGUGAUGGGAGAAAUUCUGGUUAGAUGCCUUCUUCUUAGUCAUAUUCUGUCUUCUUGGGCAACUACUGCUUACUUUGGAGAAUUUUUCCAUUGGGGUUGACUAAUCUUAGCCAAAUCAGCAGGAAUUUUAAUCACUUUUCUAAGAAUACCUGUGAUUUUUGAAUCUACAGUAAAUUAUAAAUUAUAAAAUUUGAAAUUAUAUUUAAGGUAGGUAGUUUACAUAUGCUUGUAUGACAUGAAAGCAUGAAAGAAUCUUUUUUCAGGGAUUUUUUUCCAAAGAAUUUUAGUAUAUUUAUAUUUGUAUAACCAUCAUUACAACCUAAUUUUACAUUUCCAUACCAAAACCCCAGCCCAUCCCUCCCACCCCUACCUCNAUUUCUAGGUCCAUCCAUGUUGCAGCAAAUGCCAUUAUUUCAUUCCUUUUUAUCACUGAGUAAUAGUCUAUUGUGUAUAUACCACAUCUUUAUCUACUCCUCUGUUGAUGGACAUUUAGGUUACUUCCAUGUCUUGGCUAUUGUAUAUAGGGCUGCAAUGAACAUUGGGGUACAUGUAUCUUUUUGAGUCAUGGUUUUUUCUGGAUAGAUGCCCAGGAGUGGGAUAGAAUCUUUGAACAUGAUUUCCCCCCCACCCCCGCCAAUGCUGUCACCUCUCAAAGAAUCUCUUAAAAUUGUGAUCGUUUACAUGUCUAGAAGAGUGUUAAGAACAGGUUGUAUGUAGCUAUCAUUUAGCAAUAGUCUCUUCUAUUCUAGCUAACAGCUUUCUUUCCUAGGUUCUUCAGAAAUGGAAUCUGAACAUGCCACCUUGAGAAAGUAGAAUACCAGAUAAGGAAUAAUUUAAAAUAUAUUGAAUGAAUAAAUAGCAGAACAGGACAGAUUUUUUUGGUGCUUUGGAAAGUAUAAUUAUAAUUUUUUUCUAAUCCCUGAAAUUUAUAUUAUUUGAAUAAUCUAAAAUCCUAGAACCCUUUUCAGGUGAUUUGGCUAAUCAAAAAGAUGCUAUCACUAUUUUUUCAAUAAUAGCACAUUAACUCCUGACUGAUAGAGAUCUACAUUCAUAAUUAGAUUUCCUUUAGCCAAAAUCAGCUUCUGAUGACUUUCAGCUAAUGAUUUCAUCUCUUAUUAUUUAAGAGCUUAGUUUUGAGAUUAGGUUUUAUUCAUUUAGUGGUUAACGAAUCCGACUAGGAACCAUGAGGUUUCGGGUUCGAUCCCUGGCCUUGCUCAGUGGGUUAAGGAUCUGGCGUUGCCAUGAGCUGUGGUGUAGGUUGCAGACGUGGCUUGGAUCCCACAUUGCUGUGGCUCUGGUGUAUGCCAGCGGCUACAGCUCUGAUUGGACCACUAGCCUGGGAACCUCCAUAUGCCGCAGGAGUGGCCCUAGAAAAG